UGGCAGCCCAUGCACUACAAUAACAGUGGUAUGGAAAUCUUUGUUUAUGUUUUUGGUGUUGUCACAUCUCUUAAUAAUGAAUUAAUCUACUAAACUGGAGAACAAUACAAAAUGUAUUUUCCGCAAAUUUGUCUCUGCCAUGGAAGACAACAACAUACUGAUAAUGUACAGCUAAAAGACAUAAUUCUUUCUGAAGGAUAAUUGCUCACAUCUUUGUUCAAUUCCAUUUCUGUUCUGUUAUGGCUGCAGCUUGCAUGCACACAAACAACAUUUCACCUAGUGACUUGGCAGGGUCCAAUAGAAUUAAUCAUUGCAGAGGGGGGGGAGAGAGAGAGAGAGAGAGAGAGAGGGAGGGAGAGGGAGAGGGAGAGAGAGAGAGGCCUGAGGCAGUCUAUAGCUCUGCCUUCCUUGCAGGAUUUUCCAGGGGUAUCCGUUCUUACCCCAGGCAUGAUGACUCUCUCGAUGUCCUUGACCACAUCGUCAUAGGUGUCGGGGUCCUCAGGAGCCUCUUGUGGGAUCAGACACCUAAGGUAGCCUGGUUCCACAUCUGGGUAGACCUGCCUCUGCUCAAUGUUCUCCAUAUAAUCUGCAAUGAAGUCCACCAUCUCUUUCCCACGUCUCCGGAACUCGGUUGCAUCCAUCUCCACUGCUAAUACACAAUGACACAUGUGGAACAGGUUAAAACAGCUUUCAGGUGUUUCAGGACUUCGGUGGCGACGUUCCAUAAUGUAAGAAAUUAACUCAAUGAAUGCUUUCAAAUAAAAAAAAAUUAUGCAUUUA